rnacentral:rRNA from 1 species
UGGGGAAUAUUGCACAAUGGGCGCAAGCCUGAUGCAGCCAUGCCGCGUGUAUGAAGAAGGCCUUCGGGUUGUAAAGUACUUUCAGCGGGGAGGAAGGCGAUAAGGUUAAUAACCUUGUCGAUUGACGUUACCCGCAGAAGAAGCACCGGCUAACUCCGUGCCAGCAGCCGCGGUAAUACGGAGGGUGCAAGCGUUAAUCGGAAUUACUGGGCGUAAAGCGCACGCAGGCGGUAUGUCAAGUCGGAUGUGAAAUCCCCGGGCUCAACCUGGGAACUGCAUUCGAAACUGGCAGGCUAGAGUCUUGUAGAGGGGGGUAGAAUUCCAGGUGUAGCGGUGAAAUGCGUAGAGAUCUGGAGGAAUACCGGUGGCGAAGGCGGCCCCCUGGACAAAGACUGACGCUCAGGUGCGAAAGCGUGGGGAGCAAACA